GCGCGUGGGGAACGCAGAGCAGCGCUGGCCUGCCCUUGUGGCCUCUGUGCCGUGCUCAGACAAGCUCAGACUUUCCCAGGAAGGCAUUCCAGGUUGCCAAGGGAGGGUCAGGAGUGUGUUGAACCAUCGUUUUCAUCCUCAGCCUCUGCCAAUUCCAUGGAGUUUGGGUCAGACCCCACGUUAUUGCUGUCACUGCUCUUGUGGGUUUUGGGAGAUUUAGCCCAAGGAAGAACUUUUUGAGCACAAGCAUUUCAAUGCCUGAAUCUGUAAGAAGAAUGAAACCUUGACUGGAAAUACGCUGGAAAGCUGUCGUAAUAAAUUUGACAUAAUAUGCAUGACAUGGAUGGAUAGAUCAUUGUUUGCCAGGCCUGGCAAAUAAAACUGGUGUCGUGGAGUCAGAAUUACAGGGGGAGAGAAACAUUGUUCUACAAGGCAUGUUCCAGAGAGGAACCAAAUCUGAAACAGCUAUAUAUUUUACUUGUGCUUAAAUUGAAUAAUAAAAAAGGCUUGCUC